UAAAUUAUAGCUUAAAAAGCAUCUCGUUUACGUUGAGAAGAUCUCUAUAAUGUUGGAGUAAUUUAA
rnacentral:tRNA from 1 species